rfam:Otolemur garnettii contig054023, whole genome shotgun sequence.
GCCAGGCAUGGUGGUUCAUGCCUGUAGUCCCAGCUACUCAGGAGGCUGAGGUGGGAGGAUUGCUUGAGUCCAGUAGCGCUGGGCUGGUGCACACUGUGCCCAUCCGGUGUCCACACCAAGUUCAGUAACCAUACAGAGACCUUCCUGGGAGUGGAAGACCACCAGGUUCCCUAAUGAGGGAUGAACUGGCCCAGAUCAGACAUGGAGCAGAUCGAAACUUCUGUUACGAUCAAUGAUAGGAUAGUGCCUAUGAAUAACCACUGCACCCCAGCUAGGGCAACAUAGCCAGACACCAUCUCUU